AUUUCCGUAGGUGAACCUGCGGAAGGAUCAUUAGUGAAUAUAGGAUGUCCAACUUAACUUGGAGUCCGAACUCUCACUUUCUAACCCUGUGCAUUUGUUUGGGAUAGUAGCCUCUCGGGGUGAACUCCUAUUCACUUAUAAACACAAAGUCUAUGAAUGUAUUUAAUUUAUAACAAAAUAAAACUUUCAACAACGGAUCUCUUGGCUCUCGCAUCGAUGAAGAACGCAGCGAAAUGCGAUAAGUAAUGUGAAUUGCAGAAUUCAGUGAAUCAUCGAAUCUUUGAACGCACCUUGCGCUCCAUGGUAUUCCGUGGAGCAUGCCUGUUUGAGUGUCAUGAAUACUUCAACCCUCCUCUUUUCUAGUGAAAGAGAAGGUGCUUGGUUUCUGAGCGUUUUGCUGGCCUCACGGUCGAGCUCGCUCGUAAUGCAUUAGCAUCCGCAAUCGAACUUCGGAUUGACUUGGCGUAAUAGACUAUUCGCUGAGGAAUUCUAAUCUUCGGAUUAGAGCCGGGUUAGGUUAAAGGAAGCUUCUAAUCCUAAUGUCUAUAUUUUAAGAAUAGAUCUCAAGUCAGGUAGGACUACCCGCUGAACUUAAGCAUAUCAAUAAGCGGAGGAAAU
rnacentral:rRNA from 1 species